GAGCCUCCCGCCACAGAGGAAAAGGUUUCUAAUGCAUGUUUUAAUCUCAUUAUUGCUGAAGUUGUUCAUAAUUUAUUGUAUAUUUGUUGUUUUGAGAUUGGAAGAUAAUCUUUUUUAGAUGCUUAUUUCUACUUUGCUGCUGUUACACAAUACGUUACAAACAAUAGUUGGGACUGGGGGCUUCUAUACUCUUGAUACCUUUUCAAGAUAUGCAUUCUUUUCUUUUCUUUGACGUUAUGCAUUGAUUGUUUUUAUUAUCAAAAAUUGAUGUUGCCUAAAGAGGUUUUUGUUUCAUUUUGAUCUUAUUGUGGUUUUUCU
rnacentral:misc_RNA from 1 species